ACGUUUUCCUUCUAGUUUUCUACUGCUCUUGCGAUUCCAAGUUCAUCACAGUCCAAAUCAACAUCAUCAGAUCAUCCUCAUCGUAUCGUCCUCAUCUCGAAAUUAGAUAUAUCAUCAUCAGAUUUUGCUCAGCUAAUUCGCAUCACCAAAUCAACAUCAUCAGGUCAUCCUCAUCUCCAAAUUAGAUUAUUCAGAUCGAUCCACCCUAUUUCGUACAUGUUUGCUUCCUCCUCCCUUUUUCUUACCCAACAGAUCACAAAUUGUUAGUGAAAACCAAUUUCUAUACAAGCUUUGGUUUAAUUUGAGGUUGACAUUUGAAGAGGAUGGGAUUUGAUCGAGUAAAGAGGAUUUGAGAUGCAGAACUGCAGAAGAGUGGGUGAGAGGCAGAGGGUUUAAUUAACAAUUAUACCUGUUAUUUCCCUAUAUAGUAAAGGGCGUACAAGCAGCUUGCACUGUUCAUAUGCGACCCUAUAAAGAUACUUUUCCGUCCCUACUUCCCGUUCAAUCACGAAUCUGCCGUCCUUCCUCGCUUUUCUCUCUUCGCUCUCUCUUCGACCUUCUUUGACUGCAAUUUAUCGAUAUCUGCGAAGUAUGCAUCCUUAUCUGACGAAUUGGGAUAAGAUUAAACAAGGCAUAUCGUGUUGGGAGGAGGAGGUCAGCUCCUCCAUCUUCAACGACGACGACGGUGGACUUUCAGGGAUGGACCCGCUCCCUUUCCCGUCGAGAAUCUUCUCCAAACGGCGGCGCCCACCUCAUUGGGAGUAAACGGCGGCGGAUUUUGCUUCUUUAAAGAAGAAAUCCGUGUUUUUUUGGCUGGGUUUUACAGUUGCAGGUUUGGUUUUGGUUGGGUUUGGACGUUGGCCAUCGCAGGGUUUCGUUUUUGGUUUGGUUCAGGAGCCUCUAUUCGUUUUGAAGUUUGCCUGUAGUUUAUUUUGGGUAUCUACGUAGCCACUUCAUUCCUCGGUUUACUCCCACCGCUCUCUGUUCAGAAAGAACAGACGCCUCAUUGCAUCUACCAGGCUGUUGCGUUUCAGAAUUUGGUUGGAAAAAGAAGUCAUCUGGUUUUUUUUUUUUGGAUUGGAUCAACCAUACUGUUACCGGUCAAUAGAAGUUAUUCAACUACCAGUUGCUGCAGGAGAAAAGGAGGAGCUGUUGAAUUUUGGGCUUCAGGUACAUAUUGUGAAGAAA